rnacentral:rRNA from 1 species
UACGAAGGGGGCUAGCGUUGCUCGGAAUCACUGGGCGUAAAGCGCACGUAGGCGGCUUCUCAAGUCAGGGGUGAAAUCCUGGAGCUCAACUCCAGAACUGCCUUUGAUACUGAGGGGCUCGAGUCCGGGAGAGGUGAGUGGAACUGCGAGUGUAGAGGUGAAAUUCGUAGAUAUCGAGAGGAACACCGGUGGCGAAGGCGGCCUUCUGGACAGUGACUGACGCUGAGACGCGAAAGCGUGGGGAGCAAACAGG